rnacentral:rRNA from 1 species
UUGACGGGGAGCACCACGAACGGGUGGAGCUUGUCGGUUUAAUUGGAUUCAACGCCGGAAUCUUACCGGGACGACAGCAAUAUGAAGGCCAGGCUGAAGACUUUGCCGGAUUAGCUGAGAGGUGGUGCAUGGCCGUCGUCAGUUCGUACUGUGAAGCAUCCUGUUAAGUCAGGCAACGAGCGAGACCCACGCCCACAGUUGCCAGCGUACUCUCUGGAGUGACGGGUACACUGUGGGGACCGCCGCUGCUAAAGCGGAGGAAGGAAUGGGCAACGGUAGGUCAGUAUGCCCCGAAUAUCCCGGGCUACACGCGAGCUACAAUGGUUGGUACAAUGGGUAUCUACCCCGAAAGGGGACGGGAAUCUCCUAAAACCAAUCUUAGUUCGGAUUGAGGGCUGCAACUCGCCCUCAUGAAGCUGGAAUCCGUAGUAAUCGCGUUUCAACAGAACGCGGUGAAUACGUCCCUGCUCCUU